rnacentral:rRNA from 1 species
UACGGAGGGUGCAAGCGUUGUUCGGAAUCAUUGGGCGUAAAGCGCGUGUAGGCGGCUUGGCAAGUCGGUUGUGAAAGCCCGGGGCCCAACCCCGGAACUGCAUCUGAAACUGCCUGGCUAGAGUCCCGGAGAGGAAGGCAGAAUUCCCGGUGUAGGGGUGAAAUCCGUAGAUAUCGGGAGGAAUUCCAGCGGCGAAGGCGGCCUUCUGGACGGUGACUGACGCUGAGACGCGAAAGCGUGGGGAGCAAACAGG